GCUUUAUAGGUUUCAGAUAGGAGGCCGUGCAUGCUAAUUGGUCUAUGGGUGGCCAUGGGAAGGCCUGGAAAAAGCACCAGAAGUUUUCACUUCAAGCCACAGACUCCACCUGGAACUUACAGCCUGGUCCCCAUGCCAUAGGCCAUUUCUCGCCUGAAGGUGAGGCUUCACCAGGGAUCCACCCCUUUCUGCCCAGGAGCCUGUCUGCCUCCUGCUGCCAUCUACAUGUCAUCCAGGGCACCCAGACUGUUCAUGUCUACGGGUGCCUGCAGGCCCACCCUGAGCUGCCUUCGGCAUCUCCAGCAGCCUCCCUCCCAUGCUAGUCAGCACCCAAAGUCUGGAGGGGGCUGAGGCAGCAGGGGGCUGGCAUAUCAGUGCUGCCCUGAGUGUGCGCGCAACCGGCCAGGUCGCCAAAGCGCCUGAGCUCAUCCUCAACUUUGAUCUGAAAUCAGAGCAGGUGCUGGGAGCAGAGGAACCCAGGACAGCAAGUGAUUUCCUGAAAUCCCCUUUAAAUCAAUGGAUGCCUCUAAAUGCAAGGAAGACUGAAUAUGGAUUUUUGGAUUUUCAAGCUCCAUAGCAAAAGCAGCAAGUUAAAAAGCAUUUGAGAAAGCCUUCCAACUACUUUGGCAGAUAGUAUUUCUUCAGUAUCAGAUACUAAAACACAGACCCAGAAAACACUAAGCAAAUAAAGACCAAAAAAUAUACACCUUGGCAUUCAUAUAAAGAAAAAGAAACAAGAUAGACAGAAGAGAGGAAAACCACCUUCAAGGAACAAGGAUAAGAACUACAUCAAACAUCUCUUUGGAAACAAUAGAAGCAAGAAAAGAGUAGAGUGAAAUAUUCACAUGCUGAAAAAAAAAUUCCAACUAAGAAUAAUUUAUCCACCAAAAUGAUCAUUCAAAAGUGAAGCAGAAAUAAAUACUUUCUCAGAAAAUCAAAAACUGAGGAAACAUUUUUUACUACUAGGUUUAGUAAACGCUACCUGAAAGAAACAUUACAAGAAGUUCUUCAGAAAGAAGGAAAAUUAUAUACAAAAUUGGAGCUCCAUAAAGAGCAUCUGAGAAGCAAUGAAUAUCGGUAAAAUAAAAUUUUGUUUUCUUCUGUUUAAUGAGAAAUUGUCAAAAGGAAUAGAUCUA
rnacentral:lncRNA from 10 species